GGGGCCAUGGUGCAGUGGCAGCACACCCAUCUUAUAAUUGGGUAACCUGGGUUCGAUUCCCAGUGGCUCCA